rnacentral:lncRNA from 1 species
UAAAGUGUAAGUUCGGCCGCCUAAAGUAGCUCAUGUUCGGCCCCCUAAACUCAAUGUUCGGCCCCCGAACGUGAUGAGGUGUUACAUGUAGCUUUGGCCACCGAACGUGAAGCGGUGGUUCACUUUUUUUAAGUGGAUAUGACCGACUAUGGAGGUGCUUAAGCUCUCCUUUGGGUCAGGAACAAGCACAUGUUUCCCCUUGGUGAUUUUCUUGAGUUUCUAAUCAAAUCUUUCAAAGAAAAAUAAGUUUAUGGUGAGUUUUAACUAGUUUUGAGAAGUUGUGGAGUUUGAGAACUUGUGAAGCUUGAAUCUUCAUUUCUUCAAGUUUGGGGUCACGCCAGCCUUUGUUCUUCAAAGGGUAAGAGUGAAUCCUUUGUUUUUAUCAUGUUUUAAAUGAGUUUGAUGAUGGGAAAGGGGAGUUGUGCUUGAGUAUGCAUAAGUUGUCCAUAUUAGGGUGUAUGGAUCCUAUGCUUUGUGUAUGGUUGUUGUGUGUUGUUUGUUGGAGUUUAAUUUAUUUGAAGCUCCUUUAUGCUUAUUGAAGUGUUUAUGCAUGUUUUAGAAGGGUUAAAUGCAUGUGUUGAGGUCUGAGCAGGUGAUGGAGGGAUUGGCAGGCGUCCUUGUGCACAAAACUGAGUUCUGGAUGAACUCAGGUUCGGCCCCCGAAAGUCCAAGUUAGGCCGCCGAACAUGCCUGACUUUCGUCUCUGGAAGGGACAUUCGGCCGCCGAAGGUGCCCCCGAAAGUGCCCUGUCCAGCCUUCCUUUGCAUGUUUUCUAUGUUUGAUCUAAGGUGUUUUAAGGGGUUUUAAGGGGAGAUGUUUAGCGGUAUGUCCGAGUAUGUUUGGUCCCUCAUUUGAGUCUAUCUGUGUAGGCACAGAGCAGAGGAACCAGAGAGAGCAGCAGUGAGUACUGCUCCAGAGUUUUCAGAGCCUGCAGAGUCAGUCAGUUCAGAUAGCCAGAGGUGAGUGGAACUACACUUAAUGCUUUUGAAUUGACCAAAUGACAUGUUUUUAGCAUCUCUCAGGCAUCAUGAUGAUAUCAUAGGGUGAUUGCAUUAGUAUCCACGAAUAUGUUGCAUUGCAUUGUUAUUUGAUGGUGUGAGUAAAUGCUGAAUGAUCCAAUAGUCACAGACAGGAAGUCCAGGAGCCUUUGACUACGCCCUGGCAAGUAUAGCAAAGACCAGGAGCCUUUGACUACGCCCUGGCAGGUAUAUAGUAAAGUCCAGGAGCCUUUGACUACGCCCUGGCAAUGGUAAGUACAAUGGUGUUAUAUACACAUAUACAUAUAUGACAGGAAGUCCAGGAGCCUUUGACUACGCCCUGGCACAGAGUUACUGGGACUAUGUGGUGACAGGUUUACUCUUGAUGUGAAAUGUUUGUGUUAUGACGCAUUCCAUGAGAGCAUCUGUUAAUGAAUUGUUUUACUGUUCUACUCACUGGGCUAUAGAGCUCAUCCCACUCCCUUACCCCAGUUUUGCAGGUUCAGUGUACAGUGUACAGGGACAGUCCAGCAGAGUACAGGAAAAGUAAAGAGAUCUGUAAUAGCUUAGAGUGGACAUGUAAUAUUAAAGAGAUGUAAUAGUGGUUGCUAGACCUAGUGAUGAAUGUUUUGUACAUGAUCUGUAUAUGUAUUUAUGUUUUCCUGUAUGUGAAAACCAGGCUUAACAGGUAUGAGUUAACCCAUCUAGAGCAAGCUCUAGUCAGGGAUACAGAGUACAGAGUACAUGAGUACAGAGUACAGAGAUAGUGCAUGCACAGGUUAAGCCUUGGUUCAGAAAAGAGUUUUAUUUUCACAUAAAAUGUAUGAUCAUGUAUGAGAUUUACAGGUACACAGAGAGUAUAGCAGGCUUGCUACGGGUUCUGGCGGCCUUAAGCCGACCUGAAUCCUAGCGCCGGUGACGGUCCAUUUUGGGGUCGUUACACUUAUCCUUUCUCUGAAUCAAGAAAUGGGUAGGGUAGCUUAAUUUCUAAGUUUGUAAUAAUCAUAUAAUUAGCAAAUAAAGACAGAAAUUUGCUGGUUUAGCUGCCAUUGAUGGCUGCACCUACACAAGCUGACAAGGAUAGCUAAUUAUCUGUAAUUGCUCUGACCUAAUAAUGAGGCCUGCUUUUAAGUUGCUUUCAAGCAUUUACCUUUCUGAUUACCCUAUCCACAGAUAGAGAGAGAAAGAGAGAGAGAGAGGGAGGGAGACAGAUCAGGCUUGUGUAUGUAUUCAAACUUGUAUUAUUGCGAGAAGAAGAGAUUUUUCUACAUUUAUUUCUCUCUAUCAGUGGCCAGCCACUACCACUAAGCCAUUGGUAGGCCAGUCGAGUGGUGACCACCUCCGUCCAUUUUUUUUUCUGCUUGGUUGGAGGUAGAAACUAGAAACUACAAAGCCACUUCAUUCUGGAAAAUAUGUGGCUGGGAAAGAAGAGUGAAAAGGAUAAAAAAUAAAUAUAAAAAUUUCUUUCACUGCAUACAUAUAGACAUAGCAGUCUUGUCCUUGGACCUGAAGUGUUUUGGGUUGGGUCCCCUAAUAAUAAUUUUUUAAAAAAAAAAAAGAAGAAGAAAAGAGAGAGGUGCCUAGAGAUACAUAAACAUCAACUUCUUCUAUAUAGACAUCAUGUCGGCAAGCAAAGAAGUUACUGUCUGGUUAUGGACAUAAAUGAGAAAAACAAAGAUAAAAAAACCAUUGCAUUAAUAAACUUGUAUCUUCAAUUGCAUGUUAUGUCAUCCAAACUUAUAAGCAAUACAACAGUAACAACAACUAAGCAAUCUUCAAGAAUAAGAAGAAGAAGAAGAAGAAUUAUCAGCAUGCAUAAACACAAUAUUGAGAGACAGAGAAGGAAGGGCUUACCUCCAUUGAGCCAAAUAACCAAGGGUUUAGACAAGGGAUCAAGAGCAGCCUCAGUGAGCCAGUAAAAGAGAGCUCUACCAGCAACUUCUUCAACAGUAACAUAACCAGAGAACUGCUGAAAGGAGACUUUAGGUUGGCCGGGAAGUGAGCUUAUCCUAUCAGCUUCUUCUUCCUCUGCUGCUGCUGCUUUUACUUGGUGACAAAUAGCACUAGAAAACACAGCAAGCAACCACACAAAGACGACGACCAUGGGAUUAACUAUG